GAUGAACGCUGGCGGCGUGCUUAACACAUGCAAGUCGAACGAUGAAGCUCAGCUUGCUGGGUGGAUUAGUGGCGAACGGGUGAGUAACACGUGAGUAACCUGCCCUUAACUCUGGGAUAAGCCUGGGAAACUAGGUCUAAUACCGGAUAGGAGCGUCCACCGCAUGGUGGGUGUUGGAAAGAUUUAUCGGUUUUGGAUGGACUCGCGGCCUAUCAGCUUGUUGGUGGGGUAAUGGCUCACCAAGGCGACGACGGGUAGCCGGCCUGAGAGGGUGACCGGCCACACUGGGACUGAGACACGGCCCAGACUCCUACGGGAGGCAGCAGUGGGGAAUAUUGCACAAUGGGCGAAAGCCUGAUGCAGCGACGCCGCGUGAGGGAUGACGGCCUUCGGGUUGUAAACCUCUUUCAGUAGGGAAGAAGCGAAAGUGACGGUACCUGCAGAAGAAGCACCGGCUAACUACGUG
rnacentral:rRNA from 1 species